CCUACGGGAGGCAGCAGUGAGGAAUAUUGGUCAAUGGGCGGGAGCCUGAACCAGCCAAGUCGCGUGAGGGACGACGGUCCUAUGGAUUGUAAACCUCUUUUGUCGGGGAACAAAGGCGCCCACGGGUGGGCGGAUGAGUGUACCCGAAGAAAAAGCAUCGGCUAACUCCGUGCCAGCAGCCGCGGUAAUACGUAGGUGGCAAGCGUUGUCCGGAUUUACUGGGUGUAAAGGGCGUGCAGCCGGGAAGACAAGUCAGAUGUGAAAUCCCGCGGCUCAACCGCGGAACUGCAUUUGAAACUGUUUUUCUUGAGUACCGGAGAGGUCAUCGGAAUUCCUGGUGUAGCGGUGAAAUGCGUAGAUAUAAGGAAGAACACCAGUGGCGAAGGCGGAUGACUGGACGGCAACUGACGGUGAGGCGCGAAAGCGUGGGGAGCAAACAGGAUUAGAUACCCGAGUAGUC
rnacentral:rRNA from 1 species